AACGUGUUUGCUGUGAGCAGAACCUUUCAUGUGCAGACAUGUGGCCAUGAGUGAAAUGAGUAGAAAUAUUAAAACAUGUCUUGUGACGGUUGAUGAAAAUGAAGAUGAUGAAGAUAACGGUUGAUUUGGUAUAAAGCUUGUUGCACUGGUACACCCAGGUUAGGGGAGUGUUGGUGCGCCCUUAAAAAAGUUUAACCCGGCCACAUUCUGUAUGUGUCAGUUUCAAGUCACGAGAUGGUAAUGCAGUGUUUGUCGUUUGUUUCUAUUUGUUGUUUCUUAUUUAUUUUGUACAUUAAUCGGGCCGUUAGAUUUUUCGUUUGUUUUACAUUAUUUAUUUCGGGAAUUGAAGACUAUGCAGUAUGAAUUUUACUCAUUGUUGAAGCCCGUACGGGACCUAUAAUUGUAAGUUAAUUUAUGUCUCAUUUGCAAUCAUAUCACAUCUUCUUUUUUUAUAUGGAAUACUUUUGAAGUUUGUGGUACGUUGCAAGGAAAAAAAGGGGGAUAUAUAGGUACAAAACCUAUAAUGUAAUAGAUUUUAACCAGAGUAAAAUACACAACAACAGAUAAUACUAUGGAAGCAGUAAUAAUUGUGAAAAAAAAAAAGCAACGAGUAGUCUUUAAAAAAAAACCUGAAGUAUCCGCAAAUUCAAUUUGAGGUCAUAUUUGACUGUAGUGUUCUAUUGCUUUGGUUUGAUACCUCACCCAAU
rnacentral:lncRNA from 1 species